rnacentral:rRNA from 1 species
CGUGUAGGCGGAGGUGCAAGUUGGGAGUGAAAUCCCGGGGCUCAACCCCGGAACUGCUUUCAAAACUGCAUCCCUUGAGUAUCGGAGAGGCAAGCGGAAUUCCUAGUGUAGCGGUGAAAUGCGUAGAUAUUAGGAGGAACACCAGUGGCGAAGGCGGCUUGCUGGACGACAACUGACACUGAGGCGCGAAAGCGUGGGGAGCAAACA